GGAAGGAUCCCUAACACAUCUCAUAAUAACAUAAACCAAACGCGAAUUUGUUUCGAACAACAUCUGGACACUCGAGAUAAGAAAGCUCUUAGCCUGUUUAGCCAGUGAUAUAGUGCCCUUAAGGGGGUGUCUGUUUCGCUCUUGGCGGUUGUCAGACUCUCCGGAGAUCUGACAGGGCUACUUGGGUGUUUCCUUUCUUUUGUGUUCCUCUUGUUAAACCAUAAACCAUAUUCACAUUCAUUACUGUCUUGACAAAUAUCUUGCUUUUAUCGCGCUUAAGUGUGUGGUAAAACAAAAAACAUAUAAACAACUCUUAGCAAUGGAUAUCUCGGCUCUCGUAUCGAUGAAGAACGCAGCAAAACGCGAUAUGUAAUGCGAAUUGCAGAAUUCAGCGAAUCAUCGAAUCUUUGAACGCAAAUGGCGCUCUAGGGUUACGCCUUAGAGCAUACUUCUCUGAGUAUCGAUUUCACUCUAACUCGUCUGCGUACUGGUGCACACAGUUUAUCUGUGCUUGCGCUAGCAGGCGGAAUGUGGUGGUUUUCUUUUCAUCGUAAGAGAAAUCCGCUUAAGAACGACAGGCUUUCCUGUUGGCACUCUUUUUGCUAGUGUCUGGUCAACGUUUGAUAGUGUUGUUGUCUCUGUGUGAGGCAUUCAAUAUAUACCAAAUAUCAAAGCGCUGAUGGACAUUAGGAGUACCGACUAAAUCGCUUGAAAUACUUAAAGAGUUGCGUGUCAGUGUUCUCGAAAGAUCUAACACGGCGUUUCAACUCGACUCUGAUACUUUGAUCUCAGAUGAAGUAGGAUUACCCGCCGAAUUUAAGCAUAUUAUUAAGCGGAGGAGAAGAAACUAACAAGGAUUCCCCUAGUAACGGCGAGUGAACCGGGAAGAGCUCAACCUGAGAAUCGGUGUGCCUAGCGGUACUCCGAAUUGUGGGCUUGAGACGCCAUUUCAGCGUGUGGCCUGGGUGUAAGUCCUUUGGAAAAAGGCAUCAUAGAGGGUGAGAAUCCCGUCUUAAACCCGGAGUCCGCCGCGUACGAGUGGUGUUCCUAGAGUCGCAUAGCUUGGGAAUGCUGUGCUAAGUAGGUGGUAAAUUUCAUCUAAAGCUAAAUAUCGACGAGAGACCGAUAGCGAACAAGUACCGCGAGGGAAAGAUGAAAAGAACUUUGAAAAGAGAGUUAAAAAGUACUUGAAAUUGCUAAGAGGGAAGCACUGGGAACUAGUCGUGCGCGCGUCUAUAUUUACCGUUCGCUGUCGAAGAGCUUCGUUUGCUGGGACUUAAUCGCCCGGUGGAUGGCUGGACGGCGGUGAGCGGCGCCUGUAGACGUGUGUGAGUCAUGAUCGGUUGGCUUUUCAGGGGCGGUAGAAACCAUGGCGGAAGGUGGUCAGCACUUCGGUGCUGAAGCUUAUAGCCGCUGUGUGCCAUACCGCCUCGCCGACCGAGGUACAUUUCGUUUCAAACGUGCGCCUUUUCUGGCUGCCUGCGCCUGUCGCUGCUGGCGGCGUGUCCGGAGAGAACAAAGUUCUGUCUGGCGCUGUCCGUUGGUACUCGGUGGAACGCGGGACAUGCACGUUCGAGAUCAUGACGAAAUAGUUCUCAUUGACCCGUCUUGAAACACGGACCAAGGAGUCUAACAUAUAUGCGAGUAUUUGGGCGUGUGAAACCCGAAUGCGCAAUGAAAGUAAAGGUAGUCCUUGUCGACUGCUGAGGUAGGAACCGGUGGGCCAAACCGCCGGGGCACUAUCGACCGAUCGUUCAUUUAUGAAAGAUUUGAGUAAGAGCAUAUCUGUUGGGACCCGAAAGAUGGUGAACUAUGCCUGAACAGGGCGAAGCCAGGGGAAACUCUGGUGGAGGCUCGUAGCGAUACUGACGUGCAAAUCGUUCGUCUGAUUUGGGUAUAGGGGCGAAAGACUAAUCGAACCAUUUAGUAGCUGGUUCCCUC
rnacentral:misc_RNA from 1 species